GCGGUGAAAGUAAACCAGAAGCCACUGAAGCUUCCGGUCCCAUGAUCCACUACCCAUUGAAGUUCAAGGUCAUGCUGUUGCCCGCCGACUCGCAACCUUCACUUAUUAACGAUGUCCACCAAUGACCACCACAACGACCACCCGCCCAAGCCCACGCAAGACCACUCCCCCGGCUGCCACUUUAAGAACACGGAAAUCGCUCUGCCCAUCACCUUCUCCCUGGAAAUGCCCUCCUACGUCAUGGUGGGAGGGCACAAGUUCAACCUCAAGCUUCAGAUGCCCAACAUCAACAUCUAGACCCAGGACAAGUCAGGACAAGUCAGGACCCCACACUCCUUGUUCGCCUAACAAGAAAAUGACAAAACUAAAAUUCAUACAUUCAGUACUUGUGUAUAUUAUAUACAUCUGCUAUACAGCAUGUAGUGAAGAAUUUGUACACAACAAUUAGACUAUCAUACUAAUUGAGUCAGAGCAUAACUUAGCUUUUUAUUGAUAAGAUUAUCUAAAAAUAUGCAUUAUAGGGAAAGUUUUUAUUUAACAAAUAUAUUGAAAUAUUUUAAUACUAAAAACAAUGUCUUCCAUUAUCAUGUGACAUUUGUAAAAACAAAAUGUAGUUCUUACGGUCAUGAACUAUGUACACUAGUUCGAUCACCCUGACAGCUCACCUAUGUAAUAUGAACGUAGAUAUGUUAACUUAUUUGCAUUGUGUGUUAUUGUAAAUGAAAGUAUAAUCCGAAUAAAAACAAACUAUUGGAGCACCAUAAAUGACCUGUCGACCGUCUUUCUCCAUUCCUGUCUGUUUUGUUUUUUUUGCCUUGAGUAAAAUCUUGGUGAUAAACUCGUCCAUUCUUUGAAGUCUCUCCAGCGUUUUCUCUGUCUGCCUACAUAGCCUUAAUACAGACUCUUAAAGUGACAUUCAACAAAUUAGAGCUUUUGGUUUCUGUUAAGAAUUCAAUGAAAGCAAGAAAUAAUCUCUAACAGUGAAACAAAAUAUUAAAGUUUCGCUUACAAUAGACACCCAAGAAAAACAUCACGCAAUUAAACUAUAAAUAAAAUUGUUUAAAAAGUCAUGUAUGAGGUCUCUUGUUACUGACAGGUUAGGGUUUAGGGUUCACUUUUGAUGCUGUUGUGGGCGUGAUCUCAGUGGUUUGUGUGGCUGUAACUGACCAAAAACGUGGUUUGGUUUGUAGGUUUACUUGUAAGAUUCUGUUAUUGUUGAUGUAGUUUGAUACCAUCUUAAUGAUUCACGACUUCAUCAGUGAUAAUGUUAUUGUUGAUGUAGUUUGAUACCAUCUUAAUGAUUCACGACUUCAUCAGUGAUAAUGUUAUUGUUGAUGUAGUUUGAUACCAUCUUAAUGAUUCACGACUUCAUCAGUGAUAAUGUUAUUGUUGAUGUAGUUUGAUACCAUCUUAAUGAUUCACGACUUCAUCAGUGAUAAUGUUAUUGUUGAUGUUAAAUAAGGAUGUCAUCCAACUGACCAUGAA
rnacentral:sRNA from 1 species